UACGGAGGGGGCUAGCGUUGUUCGGAAUUACUGGGCGUAAAGCGCACGUAGGCGGCUUUGCAAGUCAGAGGUGAAAGCCCGGGGCUCAACCCCGGAAUUGCCUUUGAGACUGCAUCGCUAGAAUUGUGGAGAGGUAAGUGGAAUUCCGAGUGUAGAGGUGAAAUUCGUAGAUAUUCGCAAGAACACCAGUGGCGAAGGCGGCUUACUGGUCCGGUACUGACGCUGAGGUGCGAAAGCGUGGGGAGCAAACAGG
rnacentral:rRNA from 1 species